GCCCAGGGCACUUAGACUUUUAGGGACCUUUCAUUGGAUUAGCAAUAAACCAUAAACGAGUUAGUAUAAUCUCAAUUAAAUUAAUACUUCCUCUAUUCAGUUUACCACUGACAUCUAUGUGAUCUAAUCUAAAUCUACUAUGGUAGUAAUAUAAUAAUUAUUAAUAAACUAAUAAUAACAUUGGCUCAUAGGACCUAGAGGCAUGAGUAGGGGUAUGAACAGAUGUUUUCCUUUGCCUUCAGAAUUGCACAGGUGUCCAACAACAUUGUAAAGAUACAAGAAGGGGCCAGUUUAAGGACAAGUGCCCUGGGGUGACCAAUAAAUAGCUCUGCUUGCAUAAAUAUUUUGCUGUUUUGUAGUUUUUUUAAAAAAAUCAGUAAUUGAAAUUAGGUCUCGUGGAAAAUUGUGCAUCUUUUUUCUCCAGACUUUCUUAGAAAGACUCAAGUGUUUUCAGUGCUCUCCCCAAAGCCAGAUUUUGAGCUCUCUCUUUUGAGUUGCUGCCUCACUACUCCCUUACCUAAUGUUUCUAAUAAGAACAGUGGAAUAUUGUAUUAGGAUUCUUUUGUAGUCCUUUUGAAGCUCUUUAAUAAAAAUUUCUUUUAAAAAGUAUUCCAUUUUCAGUACACAUAACAAGAUGAAGUAUUCAGUAUUUCAUAAAGUACUUUAUGAUAUGCAAAGAACAUUCAUGGCCAUUGCCUCAUUUAAAUACUUAAAGCAAAUUUGUCAGAUAGACAAAGCAGGUCACCCCAUAAGACAGAUGAAGCUGAAACCACAGGUGGUAAAUGACCCAGGUCUUCUGACUCCUAAUCUAGUACUCUUUCCUUACUUCAACUUGCUCCUUGACCAAAUGUCAAUGAAAGGGUUCCAUUUAAAUAUGAAUUCUUGGGUUUUCGUAUUUGAUAUUAACCAUGUGAAACUUUGUAGGUCAUUAGAACUUUCAGGGCUAAUCAGGGGGACAGUCAGUAAUUGAUAACAGUCUACCUCCGGUAAUUGACUUUACUUUCUCUUCCUGUGUAUGUUCUGGGUCUCACAAGUACAAGAUCAAGUGUAAAUGAAGUAAGGGGAGGCUUUGUCACUAAACAAACACUUAACUGAUUGCUGCUGGAUGAUAAGCAUAUGAUAAGUGGCAGCUUCAAAGAACAUUUCAACACGAUAUGAAAGGAGAUUCUUGAUUCAAGAUUAGAAGAUUUUGGAGUUCCCUGGUGGCUCAGUGGAUUAAGGAUCCAGCAUUAUCACUGCUGUGGCUUGGGUCACUGACAAGGCACAGGUUUGCUCUCUGGCCUGGGAACUUCCCCAUGUUGUGGGAGUGGCCAAAAAAAAAAAGGUUGUAGGAUUUAAACACCUUCAUUAAUGGGAACUUCGUGGGACUACACACACUUGAGGUCACUUCUUCCUAGGACUUUGGUGCUCUGAUGUUCAUGUGUCAUCCCACAAGAGCAGUGUUAGCUCCAUAUAUUCCAUGUAUGCAACCGUGUUGCCCAAAGUUGUGAACUCUAACACCAUUGUGUUUAUUUUUAUGAGAAUUAGGUCAAGAUUAGCCUAAGCAGAGGCAACAAAUAACUUCAGAUCACAAGCGAAAUGGGAAAUGAAAUGUGUUUUAUACUGAAUCUUUACAGAUGGAUUUUGCAAAGAACAGUUCAUUAACUGUAUGCCCAACUGGGAAUACAUUUUUAAUGAUUUGCAGGUAGUCUAGAGAAAAGCUAAAUUAAAAAAUUGCAGCCCCAACUGCUCCUCUAAAAUGGGCUAAGAACUAUAGCUAUGAAUUAAAAUAACUUGUGAAUUUUUCUAACCAAAAUAAAAAUACCAGUUAUGAAAUAUUUCUUUUACUCAUUGCCAAUUCUUUAAUAGUCCAUUAGGUAUUUCUAGGAGGUGGAGCAGUUGAAAUGAAAAUUGGAGCUCAGAAAUCUGAAAAGCCAAAAUUUUGGAUAAACUGGCUGAGGAGAGAUAGAACUGGGUUGAAAGGAGGCUUUUUCUGUGGUAGAUUUGCCUUCAAACUGGGCAUAUGUUUCAUUUGGAUAAGUCUUUGAAAGUUCCAGGAAUCACUGAAAAAAAGAGACUUGAAGGAACUUAGAACUAGUUUAAUUCUACUGCAGCCUAAGAGUAGGCCACUUAAUGGGGAAGGCAUUCAGUUGCUUCUAUAUGACUUAGCUAACUCCACUGUCCUUUGCAGAUUAAAAGCUGAGCAGCUCAACUUGAUUAAAGAAUCUGCUCUUUUAACCCACUCCUCCACUUGAGACCCUUGUUACUUGAAACUGGGUUUCUUAUAUGCUACUUCUCUUUUUCCUAACCCAGAAGUUAUUGAUUGAAUGUGUUGUUCUUUAUGUCAUUGUUUAUAGGGAAAGCUAGUCUUUAUCCUGUUUCAUUUCCACUUCCUAGGCCAACAUUUAAGAACAUUUAAAUCUUUCUGUUGCUUAUGCUGGACAUGCUGGUAAUAACAUGGUAAGUAGUUAUAUGAUGAGUAAUUGUGUGUCCAGCAGUAAAGCUGAAUAUAGUUUUAUUUGUAUAUAUUUUCCUCUAGGUGUUUCAUAGGAGUGAUUUUCAGUUCCCAGGUCCUUUUCAGAACUGGCCUUAAAAAAAAACCUCCAAAAACAAAACAAUACAAAAAUACCAAAAAACCCUUAACUACAAUGAAAGCAGUUCAUUUACAGGGACCCCUUCUUCUAUGACUCCACUUAUAACACAGAUGCUGGCAUGGUAUUUAUACCUACCUAAAAAGAAGAUGCACUCAUAUGUGGCGUUACUUCAUUAAGAACAACUCCCCCCAAAUUAUAACUUUUAUUUUUUUAUGACUGUUUCUUUAAAUAGCAGCCAUUCUUGGUUUCAUUUUUUAAAUAUCAAAGGAGUAAACCUAAAACAGGCACCUUCAGCUUUUUUGUACCUAGAGAUUUUAUUUUAGGAAAAAGUAAAAAAGAAAUCAAAUUUCCUUGAGGCAAAAAUUGGAAAUUUGACUUUAAUCAGGGUUCUUCAAACUACUAAUUACCUGAAGAAAAAAAUGAGAUAGAAUCAUGGAAUGUUAGUGCUAAACACUAUUUAGUUUGGUCUCUUUACUCAAGAGUCAGAGAAACUUGGGGCCCUAUUGGCCAGCCAGUUCUCUAGUAGGUUAUACAGAUGGGUAGCGGGAAGUCUGUGGGGAUUUCUCUCAAUUCAGAGUGAUUCUGUUGAACCCUGUGUGUUUGGUUGGAUUUGGCUUAGGAAGUGGUGAAAGAAGGGAGGCUAAGGAAAAACAACCCAUGACAGGUUUAUGGCCAGCUCGUUAAAUUAAAUCCUUUGCUUGACACUGUAUUGCUUUCUUUGCUGGGUGUGGAUUGACAGGUAUUGAUGAAAUGCCUUAGGUUCUAAUUCAAAAUGCUGGGUGACAAAAAUUGUAACUUUGACAGGUUGAGGUUAUCAACAAGCCGCAGGGUGAGUGUAGGGACUCCAGGCUGUAGCAGCCAUUAUACUGUCUGUAGCGAGCCUCUGUGCUUUAAUGGGGAUGCACUUGAUCUCUUCACCCCCAAAGAGUAGAUUAAGUGCUUCAGUAAAUAUGCCAUUAAGAUACUUCAUUGUACUAAGCCAUUAAUACACACCUCAGAUAGGCCUUCAGCCACCCAAGAAGCAUUUGAACGGCCUAGAAAAACACCUAAUGCUGUAUCUACUUUGACAUUUCAUUAUUAAAUACAAUUUCAAAAUUUUGGGAAGUAAUUUUUCUACUGCUUUGAAUAAAGUCAGAGUGGGGAAAAUAGCAAAUUCCUUUCCAAUCUACUCUAAAUGACUUCCUCUGCCACCACAUCACUUUGUGGUGGUCCUAACUACAUUAAUUCCUUGACCAUGGGCCUGAGUCAGGCUUAAGGUUUCAGAGUAUCUUUUUAGAACCAGCUAAGCUUCUGUAACAUUUCAUUUUCUUAUUGAAGAAGCUAAAUGAGAAGCAUUUUAGAGAUGUUUGCUAUGGUGUACUAUUUGUGUUUGUUCUCUGCUAUUUUAUUUCUUAUGUUUCUGGACAUAAUUCUUAACAAUAGUAGAAUAACAUGGUAAUAGAAUUAAUUUUAAACCACAUUGGACCCGGGAGAUCAUUUAACUCUUCAUUUUAUUUGUUUUUUAUUUUAUUUUAUUUUGUUUUUUGUUUUUUCUAGGACCGCACCUGUGGCAUAUGGAGGUUCCCAGACUAGGGGUUUAAUCGGAGCUGUAGCCACCGGCCUAUGACAGAGCCACAGUAAUGCAGGAUCUGAGCCACGUCUGCGACCUACACCACGGCUCACGGCAACGCUGAAUCCUUAACCCACUGAGCAAGGCUAGGGAUUGAACCCGAAACCUCAUGGUUCCUAGUUGGAUUUGUUAACCACUGAGCCAUGAUGGGAGCUCCCUAACUCUUUAUUUUAGAGGUGAAGAAAUUGUAGGUAAAAAAUGUGAAGGUACUGUUAUUUGUGUUGCCUUUGUGGUCUUAAAGAAAUUUGGUAGCUACAGCUUAAUUCUUUUCUUAAAACUAUAAACUUAUUUAUCCUCUCUAAUCCCUCGUCAUGAUUUGGUUUUCAUCACCUCUUAGUGAUUGAUAUGACAUUUUGGUUAAGAAAACUUAGGUACAAAAAAAUUAUUUUCACAAAGUCAGAGAUCAAGAUUAGGUAGAGGAAAAACCUGGUGUUGAAUUCUGGGACUUCUGAUAUACCCUGAAAAUUUUGUAAGACAGUCCUUCAAAUGUUUUACGUGGAGUGAUAACAUUGACUUACUAAAUUCAGAUAAUUUUGUAACUCCUUUGUCUUUUUUGGGGGGAAGAGGUGGUUAUGACUGAUUUCAGUGAAAGACUGACAUUAGGCUGAAUUGACAGGCAAUCAUGUAUAUCACGCAUAUCAGUAUAGGAAAAGCGUUGUCCAUGGAAGACUUCUUUGAAAGGGGCCUUGUGGUACCAGUCUCCAAUAGUAUAAGAAGUUGUCUACCUCAGCUCUAGAACCAUGAGAUGAUCUUGUUGUAUCCUAUAGAUUUGUCACUUACUAAGCUGGGAUUUAGUAACUUUUUUUUAUCAUCACUUAUAGCUUAAACAAAACAAAUGCCCCUGCUCUUAGACAAACAAAUCCUUUCUUCCUAAUUAGCUUUCAGGAUAUACUUUACCUGAAGAAUGAGCAGGUAUUAGGUAUUAUUAUUCAGAACAAAAAUAGUUAUGCACCAAGAAAUCAUGAGACUGUAGAUGAUUUUUUACAGUAAACAAAGUGUUACUUUUCAAUUUUAAAAAUAUCAGACAUAAAAACAAACAAAAAAGACUUCUUGUGGUGAUUUUAUUUUCUGAUCAGAUCCCUUUUUAGUGCUCGCAUAAGACCAUGUAUCUUAAUACUACCACUGAAUUUCAUUUCUCUUCAAGCUUAUAAAAUUUCAGGAAUCCGAGACACCAGGAUAGACAGCCACAUCAACCUUUUGAAAACGUUGUAAUACUUAUUUUCCCUGUCUUUUCCACUAUAUCUUAAGUUCUCCCAGGUCAGAGACCAUGUCUCCUUCAUCAUUGUAUCUCUAGUUCCUAGAACAGUGGUGUACUCAGUAUCUUUUGGAUGAAUCUGUGAAUUAAAUUCUGUAAUCCUGUGUACCUUCUGAGUUUCUUCUGGGUAGGAUAAAAUUCCAGUUCUAAGUGUAUACAACAGGGUAGUGUCCUAAAAUGGCAUCAAGCUUAGUCACAUAUAACUUGAUCCAGCUGUUAAAUAAACAGGCAGGACGCUGUGAGGUAUAGUAAACAGCAGAGUACGUGCCUUCUCCAUGCUGAUGACAUGGUUUUAUUAACACAAACCAGGAUUUUCCUUUAGAAGCUGCAGAACCUGUUGCCUACUUACUGUCAGAACAGUUUAACAUCAACUGUGCUACAACGAAAACCAUUGUAUUUGACAGACAUUCUCCAGUAUUUAAAUGAACAAUACUAAGUAACCCCAUACAACAGGUCAACUCAUUCAGCUAUUGGAAUGUAUAUUUUGCAGCCAACCUACCCGGGUGGGUCCAUGGGGAUACA
rnacentral:lncRNA from 1 species